UACGGAGGGUGCGAGCGUUGUCCGGAUUUAUUGGGUUUAAAGGGUGCGUAGGCGGUUUGGCAAGUCUUGUGUGAAAUCUUUGGGCUCAACCCAAAGUCUGCAUAAGAAACUGCCGGGCUUGAGUAUGGGAGAGGUGAGUGGAAUUUCCGGUGUAGCGGUGAAAUGCGUAGAUAUCGGAAGGAACACCUGUGGCGAAAGCGGCUCACUGGACCAUUACUGACGCUGAGGCACGAAAGCUAGGGGAGCAAACAGG
rnacentral:rRNA from 1 species